rnacentral:tRNA from 1 species
CAAACUAUAGCUUAUUCUAAAGCUUUUUAGUUACAUUAAUAAGAAAAUUUAACAUUUUAGUUUGA